UACAGAGGGUGCAAGCGUUAAUCGGAAUUACUGGGCGUAAAGCGAGUGUAGGUGGCUCAUUAAGUCACAUGUGAAAUCCCCGGGCUUAACCUGGGAACUGCAUGUGAUACUGGUGGUGCUAGAAUAUGUGAGAGGGAAGUAGAAUUCCAGGUGUAGCGGUGAAAUGCGUAGAGAUCUGGAGGAAUACCGAUGGCGAAGGCAGCUUCCUGGCAUAAUAUUGACACUGAGAUUCGAAAGCGUGGGUAGCAAACAGG
rnacentral:rRNA from 1 species